GACGAACGCUGGCGGCGUGCCUAAUACAUGCAAGUAGAACGCUGAAGAGAGGAGCUUACUCUUCUUGGAUGAGUUGCGAACGGGUGAGUAACGCGUAGGUAACCUGCCUUGUAGCGGGGGAUAACUAUUGGAAACGAUAGCUAAUACCGCAUAACAAUGGAUGACACAUGUCAUUUAUUUGAAAGGGGCAAUUGCUCCACUACAAGAUGGACCUGCGUUGUAUUAGCUAGUAGGUGAGGUAAUGGCUCACCUAGGCGACGAUACAUAGCCGACCUGAGAGGGUGAGCGGCCACACUGAGACGGAGACACGCCCCAGUGUGCUACAGGUGGCGGCAAUAGGGAUUCGGGAGCAAUGGGGGCAGCACUGACCGAGAAACGCGGAAUGAGGGAGGAGGGAUUUCGCGUGGUGGAGCUCGGUUGUCGGUCUAGAACGGGUGUGCGAGUGGAAAGAUCACAGUGUGACGGUAGCUGACCAGAAAGGGACGGCUAACUACGUG
rnacentral:rRNA from 1 species